CCUACGGGAGGCAGCAGUGGGGAAUAUUGGACAAUGGGGGCAACCCUGAUCCAGCCAUGCCGCGUGAGUGAUGAAGGUCCCUAGGGUUGUAAAACUCUUUCAGCAUGUGGAUGAUAAUGACAGUACCUGCAGAAGAAGCUCCGGCUAACUCCGUGCCAGCAGCCGCGGUAAUACGGAGGGAGCUAGCGUUGUUCGGAAUUACUGGGCGUAAAGCGCGCGUAGGCGGCUUGGAAAGUUAGAGCGUGAAAGCCCGGGGCUCAACCCCGGAACUGCCUCUAAAACUCCCAAGCUAGAAUCCUGGAGAGGUGAGUAGAAUUCCUAGUGUAGAGGUGAAAUUCGUAGAUAUCAGGAAGAAUACCAGUGGCGAAGGCGGCUCACUGGCCAGGUAUUGACGCUGAGGUGCGAAAGCGUGGGGAGCGAACAGGAUUAGAUACCCUGGUAGUCCACGCCGUAAACGAUGAGUGCUAGGUGUUGGGUAGCUUGCUAUUCAGUGCCGCAGCUAACGCGUUAAGCACUCCGCCUGGGGAGUACGGUCGCAAGAUUAAAACUCAAAGGAAUUGACGG
rnacentral:rRNA from 1 species